CUUGUCUGCAACCAUCUAAUCUAGGCCUAUGAAAAGGGGAAACACAAAUUGUGCAAUAUGAAGUCCAUCUAACCUGGAGGAGGAAAUUAUUGUCCAAAAACAAAGUUUCAGGUGGCACUGACCCAACAAUAAUAAAUAGUGAAUAUGCUCAUUGCGCUUCUUUUGAGCCUAUGCGCCUUUUGGAGCGAAUUCUUCUCUGUCUCGAUUAGCUCAACAGUGAAAUGACUGACAACACUGUCAGCCAAUCCGAUGUCUAGCCAGUCAAUUCAAUUCAAGGGGCUUUUUUGGCAUGGGAAACAUAUGUUAACGUUGCCUCAACUUGUCAAAUUGUCUCAACUAGCGAAAAGUCACCAAUGGGAAUACGAGACAGUCGCAAAUAAUUGUAUCCAACCACCAUCUCCUGUUUGACAUGUGGUCCAGUCAUAUUUGCCCUUUGACUUUAGACCCGGGCCCAACUAGAAUUUUCAAAAACUAUCGGCGGCGAUGACACUUUCCCCGCAUCAGAUCAUUGUUGUUUACGUCACACGAAGAGAGAGUUACAGCAUUAUGCUGAUGCCCCACUGUAAGAACCUGGAGAUCUUCACUGUUUCUGGGGAAGGUGACGUGGCCACAAACAAUGCGUGGGACACCUUCCAACGCUACUUCUGUCUGGACAACAGCCAGAGGGUGAUCAAGACAUCUUCAACCCAAUUGGAGGAGACGACCCAAGGUUCCUCGCCUCAGACUUCCUCCAAUGGGUUUUGAGAAGGAUGCGAGUAGUGAGGAGUUGUUUUAGGUGGAAAUGUAUUCUGUUUGCACCACAGGAGGUUGGUGGCGCUGUACCUUAAUUGAGGAGAACGGGCUGGUAAUGACGAGCGGAAUGAGUGGAAUAGUAUCAAACACAUGGUUUCCAGGUGUUUGACGUCAUUCCAUUUGCUCCAUUCCAGCCAUUCUUAUGAGCUGUUCUCCACUCAGCAGCCUUCUGUGGUCACACUUACAUCUUUUGUUCUACUUGUGCUCUUUCCACAGAUUAUUUAAUUUAACCUUUAUUUAACUAGGCAAGUCAGUUAAGAACAAAUUCUUUUUUACAAUGACGGCCAAACCCGGACGACGCUGGGCCAAUUGUGCGCCGCCCUAUGGGACUCCCAAUCACGGCCGGUUGUGAUACAGCUUGGAUUCGAACCAGGGUGUCUGUAUUGGCUGGCUUGCUGAUAUCAUCUGAUCUGAUGAGACUCCCUGCGACUUGACUCCUGUAUUACUGACAGUUUUCAAUAAAACUUCCAGUAGCAAAUUGAAAUAAUUUGAGAUUCUGUAAUUGAAAGACAAUUGUAGUUCCCAAUCAGACAAUUACUAUAAAACAAAUCUGUUUUCCUCAGUGCAGUUGUAAACAACCAUCAUCGAGUCCAUCCUCAGCUCCUCCAUCACUGCAACGGAUUGUCCGGUCUGCUGAGAGGGUCCUUCGAGGUCCUGCACGACUCCAGGGCAAGGAAGCGUGCAGAAAAGAUCAUUGCCAACCCCUUCCGUCCCCUCUGGCAAACGGUUCAGGUCAAUCACGACCAAAACCUCAUGCCACCUGAACAGUUUCUUCCCCUUGUGCCAUGGCCCUCAUCCAACCGGCAACCUGGUCUACGAUGAUCCUGUCAUCCAUGGACUUUGUACUAUUCAUCCACAUACUAUUCACUGCACUAUCAUCCCAGAACUACACAUUGCUCUUUGCACUCUCUGCACAUCUCUUACAUGCAUCAUUUAUAAUGUAGCUUAUAGUGCUCACAGUGUACAUACUGUAUGUGAAUCUGUGAAGAUUCUGCAUCUAUUUUUUGCACUGUAAAUUUUGUUUAUCGUCUGUAUAUUGUUUAUUGUGGCAGCAACAUUUCAGUCAUUCCUGUACAUGCAAAUGUAUUUGGUGAAUAAAGCUGAUAUGUUAACCUGAGUUGAACUGGUUUAUCAUGGGUCAGUUUAUAUUCUAUUAUUUGGGACUGGUUAUGUACUGGAUGAA
rnacentral:lncRNA from 1 species